UACGUAGGGUGCGAGCGUUAAUCGGAAUUACUGGGCGUAAAGAGUGCGUAGGCGGCCUGUUGCGUCCGCUGUGAAAGCCCGGGGCUUAACCCCGGGUCGGCAGUGGAUACGGGCAGGCUAGAGGUAGGUAGGGGAGAAUGGAAUUCCCGGUGUAGCGGUGAAAUGCGCAGAUAUCGGGAGGAACACCGGUGGCGAAGGCGGUUCUCUGGGCCUUACCUGACGCUGAGGAGCGAAAGCGUGGGGAGCGAACAGG
rnacentral:rRNA from 1 species